rnacentral:rRNA from 1 species
AACGAACGCUGGCGGCGCGUCUUAAGCAUGCAAGUCGAACGGCAAGAGAGAAGCUUGCUUCUCUCCUAGAGUGGCGGACUGGUGAGGAACACGUGGGUAAUCUACCCUUAAGAUGGGGAUAGCUGUUAGAAAUAGCAGGUAAUACCGAAUACACUCAGUGCUUCAUAAGAGGUAUUGAGGAAAGGAAGCUACGGCUUCGCUUGAGGAUGAGCUUGCGUCCCAUUAGCUCGUUGGUGAGGUAACGGCCCACCAAGGCGACGAUGGGUAUCCGGCCUGAGAGGGUGAACGGACACAUUGGGACUGAGAUACGGCCCAAACUCCUACGGGAGGCAGCAGCUAAGAAUAUUCCGCAAUGGACGGAAGUCUGACGGAGCGACGCCGCGUGGAUGAAGAAGGCUGAAAAGUUGUAAAAUCCUUUUGUUGAUGAAGAAUAAGGGGAAGAGGGAAUGCUUCUCUGAUGACGGUAGUCGGCGAAUAAGCCCGGCUA